rnacentral:rRNA from 1 species
UACGAAGGGGGCUAGCGUUGCUCGGAAUCACUGGGCGUAAAGGGUGCGUAGGCGGGUUUUUAAGUCAGGGGUGAAAUCCUGGAGCUCAACUCCAGAACUGCCUUUGAUACUGGCGAUCUUGAGUUCGGGAGAGGUGAGUGGAACUGCGAGUGUAGAGGUGAAAUUCGUAGAUAUUCGCAAGAACACCAGUGGCGAAGGCGGCUCACUGGCCCGAUACUGACGCUGAGGUGCGAAAAGCGUGGGGAGCGAACAGG